rnacentral:lncRNA from 1 species
GGUCAGGGGACCAUCUUCUUAUUCCCUCUUUUCUCAUUCCUCCAACUUCCUCCCCUCCUUCAAUUAUUUUUUUGUAAAGUUGAUGCCUUACUUUUUGGAUAAAUAUUUUUGAAGCUGGUAUUUCUAUUUCUUUUGGAUUUUUUUUAAUGUAAGGUUGUUUUGGGGGAUGGAGUUAGAACCUUAAUGAUAAUUUCUUUCGUUUGGUGUAGGUUUUAGAGAUUUGUUUUGUGGAGAGGUUUUUUUCUUUUGAUGUAAUAAAAUUUAAAAUGGAAAUGAA